UCCAGGAGGGCCUGCACGGCGCACCGUCUUUCCAGGGUCUCUCCCUGGACGUCGCGGUCCCUCCUUGCCCGCGCUCUCCCGGUGGGCGCCACUUCCGCCCAGCCGGACCAGAGAGGCCGCCCCAGCUCGGCUCGGAGCGGCGCGAGAGGCCGAAGGCCGGGGUUGAGUUACUCCGAGAAAGAGCCGACACCGUCAAUGUCUGAGGGUUCCAGUUUUCCCUGCAUCCUCGUCAAGCUCUGGUGUGUCUUUGGGUUCACCCAACGGCCUUUUCCUUCAGGUCCUGCAGCACCUCCCACUGGACUUGAACUACGCAUGACCUCUGGAAGCACCCACCUCAUCCAUCCAGCUUCUUUUUCUUGCCCUUUGUACCACAGCUGCUUCCUAGAUUCUUGGUAAGUGCGUUAAGUUGGGGGAUGUAGAUGGGGCGGUGUCUGACCAUAUUCACUAUCAGAGACUCAGGUGCUAGGAUGAAGACUGUGUGUAUGUGCCUGAUUUGCACAGACUGAAUGGUACGGCUCCCCCCUCCCCACAUUCAUAUGUUGGAACCUAAUCCCCAAUGUGUUGGUAUUAGGAGACGGGGCCUUUGGGAAUUGAUUAGGCCAUGAGGGCGGAGGCUUCAUGAAUGGGUUUAGUGCUCUUAUAAGAGACUCCAGAGACCUCCUCGCCCCUUCCAUGUGAGGAGAGAAGGUGCUGUCUGUGAAUUUGGACACUGAAUCUGCCGGCAUCUUGACCAUAGCCUUCCCAGCCUCCCAAACUGUGAGAAGUACAUUUCUCCCACCCCGGAUCUGGUGUUCUAUGAUGGCAGUCCAGUGGACUGCGAAUGCUGUGUAACGUGAGCACGUUGUGCGGCUUUUCCAGACCUUGGUUUCUUCAGCCUGCCAAGCCUCCUCCCUGGCCAUCGAGAGAGAUCCCUCCACUUAAAAAUGGGCCAGAUGUUUCAGAACAGAAGCUAUUAAAGUGGCCAGUGAACACAGGCAGAUGUGCUCAGCAUCACUGGGCAUCAGGAAGGUAUGAAAUGAGAUACACUUCCCACCCGCCAGGCUGAGAGUAAAGACUUUCAGGAUCAAGUGUUGGGGAGGGUGUGAAGCGGCUGGAACCCACGUAUACUGCUGACGGUAUGCAAAUUGCUGCAGCCACUUAGAAGACCAUUAAUACACACUAAGGCUAAGCGGACACGUACUCCAGGUCCCAGCACUUGCAUUCCCAGAUGCACACUCAUAAGAAGUGUGUCCUUAUAUCCACCAAAUGACAUGUAUGAGAAUACUUCUAGUAGCCUUGUUCGUAAUAGACCAAAACGCAAAACAAAUGUCCGUCAGCAGUUAGAAAAGAGAAGGAAAUUGUGGGAUAGCCAUACAACAGAACCUACACAGCAAUGGGAAAAAACAAACAAA